AGUGAACGCUGGCGGUAGGCCUAACACAUGCAAGUCGAACGGCAGCACAGGAGAGCUUGCUCUCUGGGUGGCGAGUGGCGGACGGGUGAGGAAUACAUCGGAAUCUGCCCAGUCGUGGGGGAUAACGUAGGGAAACUUACGCUAAUACCGCAUACGACCUUCGGGUGAAAGAGGGGGAUCGCAAGACCUCUCGCGAUUGGAUGAGCCGAUGUCGGAUUAGCUAGUUGGCGGGGUAAUGGCCCACCAAGGCGACGAUCCGUAGCUGGUCUGAGAGGAUGAUCAGCCACACUGGAACUGAGACACGGUCCAGACUCCUACGGGAGGCAGCAGUGGGGAAUAUUGGACAAUGGGCGCAAGCCUGAUCCAGCCAUACCGCGUGGGUGAAGAAGGCCUUCGGGUUGUAAAGCCCUUUUGUUGGGAAAGAAAUCUUUCAGGCUAAUACCCUGGGAGGAUGACGGUACCAAAAGAAUAAGCACCGGCUAACUUCGUG
rnacentral:rRNA from 1 species